AUUGAACGCUGGCGGCAGGCCUAACACAUGCAAGUCGAACGAGUGGCGGACGGGUGAGUAAUGUCUGGGAAACUGCCCGAUGGAGGGGGAUAACUACUGGAAACGGUAGCUAAUACCGCAUCCCAUCGGGUUUGCCCAGAUGGGGUGAGCUUGUAGGUGGGGUAACGGCUCACCUAGGCGACGAUCCCUAGCUGGUCUGAGAGGAUGACCAGCCAAACUGGAACGGUGAAACGGUCCAGACUCCUACGGUAGGCAGCAGUGGGGAAUAUUGCCCAAGGGGCGCAAGCCUGAUGCAGCCAGGCCGCGUGUAUGAAGAAGACCUUCGGGUUGUAAAGUACUUUCAGCGGGGAGGCGUUACCCGCAGAAGAAGCACCGGCUAACUCCGUGCCAGCAGCCGCGGUAAUUC
rnacentral:rRNA from 1 species